rnacentral:rRNA from 1 species
UACGUAGGGGGCAAGCGUUGUCCGGAUUUAUUGGGCGUAAAGAGCUCGUAGGUGGUUCGGUAAGUCGGAUGUGAAAUCUCCAGGCUCAACCUGGAGGGGUCAUUCGAUACUGCCGUGACUAGAGGUCGGUAGGGGAGUGUGGAAUUCCUGGUGGAGCGGUGAAAUGCGCAGAUAUCAGGAGGAACACCGGUGGCGAAGGCGGCUUGCUGGGCCUUACCUGACGCUGAGGAGCGAAAGCGUGGGGAGCGAACAGG